AACCGAUUUACCGAACCGAUUUAACUUGGACCGAAGCCGAAAUGACUGAAACCGAAAUAUUCGGUAGUGAGCUCGGUUAGCAAUUCUUGAAAACCGAAUUAAAUUCGGUGAUUUCGGUGUCUACCCUCGGUCCACCGAACUAACCGAAGCACCGACACUCUACCUCUAAUUUCUCUCCUCCCAACUUGGCAACUCCAACACAGCCGCACUCCCGCAGGCCGCAGCCUGCAAUCCCGCACCCACGGCGUGACCUCCUCCCAAAUCGCCGGGCGUCCCAAAUGGCCUCCUCCCAAAAUCAUGGCACAGAUCUCCCAGAAUUUAUCCUUGCCCUCCCCAUGAGCGCAAGUCUUGCGUGUGUGAUCUGCACCUUCCAUGCCGGAUUGAUUUCUUGUCUCUGAGCACCUAUAUGAGGCGUGAUUCACUGCAUCCCGAUGCCUCUCUGCAGUGCGCCGCCCGCCCGCCCAAAUCCCUGGCCUUUGGCCAUGGCACCAUUAGGUUUAUUUAUGCAUGGGGAGAAGAUAGUAGGCUGCCUUCAAACCGAACAGAGCCGAAGCGGCUGGAAAAAUUCUGCAUCGAACGAUGUCGCUUUCCUGCAAAAUUUCUUCCGAGACAGAGGAGUGUCAUACUUGAGAACAUAGGUCAUGAUAAGCAAGUAGUGAUGAAAGUUAAUCAUGGAUGAAGCUUGAAGAAUAAGCAAUAAAUCUUGAAGUUUAGAAGAAGGGAGAUUGGUAAUGGCAGCUGCACCGCACUACUGAAUCUGUGUGGUUCUGCUACUUGCCUGCUUCUAUUUCGUCUUCUCAAACUUAAGUGGACUUGUCAAUGUGUCGUCUGUGAUAAACUAUGGCUGGUUUGUCGGAUGUAAUUUGUUGAGUCUGAUUUUCUAUCUUUACGCCCAUUUUGUGUAAAUUAUCUGCAAGUUUCUCUGUCA